UCUCAAAUCAUAUCUACACCAUAGAUAUCCAUUAAAUCAAGCUUUAAACAUCUUUGAUCCUUGAAUUAAGAGCAACUUUGGAGGGAUUCUAAAGCUUGAAGUCAAGAGGAGGAUUUUAUUUUUCUACUCAAGAAUCAUUGAAUACGAGCAGAGGACGGAAGUGAGUCCACCCCGAGUGCUACGAGAGUAAGCUAAAGCCAUCAGGUGGGCAUUAUUUUUACUAUACGUAUAUAGAGAUCCCCUGCGUAUCGUAGGCCUCUUAUACGAAAUGAAAUAAAUGAUGUGAUUUAACAGUCAAUUUCAGUUUGAUGAAAAUUAUUACUGUUGAUGAUGUUUAUGAGUCUGAUAAAUAUUUUGAGAUUUAUUGAUGUUGAACUAAUUGACUUGCCAAGUUUUGAUGACGACGAGCCUGUAUGUCAUCCUCUACUGAUGAGACGAAUUCGGGUCUUGCCACAAGCGGGAUUGUGUACACAGAGGUGACCGUGAGCUGUCCUUCGGGUCGGCCGGUCACGGUACUUGAGAAGGAGGCCUACUUCUCAGUACCUUAAAUGAUGAUGAUUUGUAGAUGUGGUACAUACAUAACGAGAAUUUUGACCGGUCAUUUAUUUAUGAUGUUUAUGAUUGUUAACUGCUUACACGGGUUCUUUUGAGUAAAAUCCCCAUGUAUUUCUUAUGUGGCAAGUUCAAUCUAUAGCUCUAAGAGCUAGUUUUCAUUGAUUUUUCGGCAUAUGUCCACUGAGUAUUCUGUACUGAGCUCUGCAUGUAUUUCUAAACGUGCAGGAUAAGCGAGGAGGGAGAUUGGACUGGUGCUGGCAGGGGUUUUGUUUCGGAUGAUCGUCAUUAUACCGUAAUUAUUUUCCUUGCGGUAACAUCAAGAUGUUGAGGUUUAUUUUGAACUUAAUCAAUAAAUUUACUCCCGGCUAUAUGUCUUCAUACAUAUAGUCUGUGCGCAUUUUGCUGCGAUACUCUGUAUAUCCCGAGUCAUUGUGAGUAAUUAGCUAUGUCUACUUUGUAAAGGUUGACAAGAAUCUCGAUGAUUUAAAAGUUAUAAAGCCAAUCAUAUUUUUAUUGAUGAUGAUGUCAUCUUUCUUGGUU